GAACACAUAAUAUUUAGCUUAUUUUGUUUUGUAUUGUUUUAUUUGAUUAUUUUGUCUCUUUCUUUGUUUCUCUCUGGAUCUUUUCUUAGGGUCACCGUUACUUCUUGCAAUUAGGAUAGUCUAGUUAAUUAAGAGGCUAUUUGAGGAAUUGUUUUUUUUUCUUUCUUUAGCUUAAUGAAUUGUGUCACAGCCAUCCUAUUAAUUUGAGAGCCAUAUUACAUGGCAGGAUGUGCUGUGUCCUAAUUUUGGGAGACCCAAUGGGAUACCACCAUAUUUCUGAGAGACAAACACAGUCUGGGAGAAUAAGAUUGGGAAUAGAAACUUAAACAGAUUUUCAAAGCGAAAAAUAUGAAAAGCAGUCUAUGCAGACGUCUUCUGCGAAUGCACGGAUGUGAUAAAGUUGCCAAAAAGUAGCCUAUUUAUGAUAACUGUCCACAGUGGAUGCUGUGUGUGCAUUGAUACAAUCUAUAAUGCAAAAGUGAAUGAGUUGAAAAUCUUCCCAAUAGCACCCACUAGGUUUAGCGUGUGUUCCUCUGAGCGAUAGUUCACUAUCGGACGCUGCUCCAAUGCCCUGGAUCACAGCGUCUGUCUCCUCGCAGGACCCGUCGGCGCUACCCACAGUUCCCCGCGCUCAGACAAGAUGGAGGAACGCAGCAGCUGCGGGAGAACAAUGUUUGGACUCUGAACGUUAAAAGAAACGAUCGAGGGGGGAAAAUACAUACACAGAGAGCCAACGGUGGACAUGCACUGGAUGAGUGAGGUGGCCUUGCAUUGAAGCAGACCCCAUCGCCCCUGUUCCAGCAUCAGCGUCAGUGUGAUAACACUCUGAGCCUUGCCCCUUCAACAUGAGCUUGAUCCAGGACAAACUUGGCAAUGAGUUCCUCCGCUCUAACGGUGGCAUGGAGCCAGGCUUCGGUCCAGGCAUGCUCAUGUUCAGUCACCUGCCCCCUGUUACUAGCUUCACCCGGCUGGCCAGUCAAACUGUUAUGGCUGACCUGCAGCCCCACGAAAUGAUCUUGAAGAAGGAGAGGGACUCGCCGGACUGUGGAGGAGGAGGGCUGAGUGCUGGAGGCAUGGGUGGUGGAGGUGGCAUAGGAGGGAUGAUGGGAAGCGUGGGAGAUUAUGUUCAUGCCAUGGGCAUUAAACAGGAGAAGGUCUCUGAACAUGAUUACCGGCUGCCUCUCUACCCGGGAGGUGGAGCUGGAACUGGAGUACGAAGUGGAGGAGAGUUGCUGGAGGUCUCGCUGGGCAACCAUCAGAACCUGGUGGUGCACGACCUCAGUCUGGGAAACCUGUCAGGACGGCUGGUAAAGGAAUCCUCAGGGAGGAAAGGUCGAAGGUCAAACGGCGAGGGACAGGAGGGCAAGACACGAAGGAAACGAGGAGAGUCGAAGUCAAUGAUGCUGGAUCCAGAUGGAGGGAGCUUGUCUCCAAACUCCAAACCGCACAUCUGUGAGCACUGCAAUGCAGCGUUCCGGAGCUCCUAUCAUUUACGCAGACAUGUGCUUAUACACACAGGUGAGAGGCCUUUCCGCUGCACUCAGUGUAACAUGAGCUUCAUUCAGAAAUACCUCUUACAGAGACACGAGAAGAUCCACAGUGGAGAGAAGCCAUUCAGCUGUGACCAGUGCAACAUGCGUUUUAUUCAGAAGUAUCACAUGGAAAGACACAAGAGAACUCACAGUGGAGAAAAGCCAUAUAAGUGUGACACCUGCCAACAGUAUUUUUCCAGAACGGACCGGUUGCUGAAGCACAAGCGGACGUGUGGAGAUGCCAUUAAAAAGGGUGUGGAUGGAGCAGAGCACGAGUUGGGCUCAGCAGGCGACGGAGAACACGGCAGCUACGGAAUCUCUCAGGGAAAUGCAGCUACGCCCAGCCGCAAACGGGGCAAGACAAAAAAUGCUGGUGAGGGGGGUGAGCGAAAACGUAAAAAGUCAUCCGGGUCUAUGGGAGCGACACAUAGUCAGGGGGCGGAUGGUUACGGGGUACAUGACUUCGGGGUAUCAACAACUUCAUCUUCAGCCCAGCCGGGCCCCAGCAUGCACGGUGAACACGGCCGAGCUCCCAAGAUGGCCUUUAAGAAGGGGAACAGGAAAUCCCUGGAGAAGAAUACUCACCCCUUGGAUCAAACCAAACCAGGAGGCAUGGAGUUGCCUGCAGGAGGAGGUUUGGACGGCCUCGGGCUUCUUCCGGGUCCAGGGGCCAAAGUUGGUCCCAGCAGCAGUAACUAUGAUGAUGCCAUGCAGUUUCUGAAGAAGAGGCGAUACCUCCAUGUGCCGAACAAUGGGGGCUCUGCUUCUGGAGCUUCAGACUACGACGUAGGCGUCGGUCACCUGCAGUCACAGCCGACGGUCAUCCAUGGUGUCGUUUCUGGGGUUCUAGAUGGCGAUGCCGCACUGGGCCUCCUGGACUCGUCCCCUCUGGGAGAUAUAAAACAGGACAAGUCUGGUAUCCCAGAUGAGGUUCUCCAGAGCUUGUUGGACCACUACGCUCACAAGCCUGAUGUGUCCUUCGACAUCACCGAUCCCCAUCACGUCGAGCUCCAGCCAGCCGCCACAGAUGCUGCAGACCCACUGGGAACCGAGGACGCCCCGUCGAGUCCCAACAGUGGUGACAAAUCCGUAAUCAUGCAUGAGUACUCGCGUUUUCUCCUACAGGCAUUAGAGAGGACCAGUCACAGCGCAAGCUUCCCGUUGGGCUCCAGUCCUGGUUCUGCCGUGACUACCACGGGACCAUUUACAGGCCCUAGCCCGCUUUUGUCAGACAAGCAUGUGUAUACUUCCUCACCUCUCGAGUACUCGUUCUCUCAACCGGUCUCGUCUUCGCCCUCCCUUUCGUCUGUGCCAAAGUCCCACUUUGGUCUCCUCGAGGGCUCGUCGCCUCCAACGGGCUUCCACUUGAGCAGCCUGGAGCCGUCUGCGCACACGCAGCAGCUCACACCUUCCCAGGAGCUCACCGAACAGCUGGACAAGCAGCACACCUCCCCUCCGCCGCCUCCACACACCCCCAACACCAACACCUACCAGAUCACACCUCAGCCUCCCGACCUGGGCGGUCCGAAGGAACCGCAAGGGCCGAAAAACGGAGCCGCAGCCACCACUGGAGGAUUCUCCCUGGCUGCGUCCCAGGACCUGGCCACGCUGGACCCAGCCAAGGCUCCUUAUCAGAUCGAGAACUUUGCCCAGGCUUUCGGGGCGCAGUUUAAAGGGGGCCGAGUGUCCCUGGCCUUCAGCAGUGACUCGGGGGGAGAGGUGACUCACCGCUUACAGACAUCAGUCUCCGAAUUCUCAGGGUAUAGCAAUCUCUUGGCUGAUGCCAGCGACCCAGUCAGCAGUGGCUCCAAAACCCCAACAAGCCAAAGCUACAGGUGAAUGGGCUCAUGUGCCUAGAUGCUCAGAUGGAGGUUCCCUGUUUUUAUUUUGUCAUGCUGUCUUUAUUGUUGUUGUUAUUAUUAUUAUUAUUGUUAUUAUUAAUAUUGUUAUUAUUAUUGUUAUUUAGUUCUCCUACUUCAAUGAAAUUGUCAUGUUUUUAAGUAAUGUUUUUCUCACUGCCAUUAUGUUCAUAUGAAAUUUCACCCUCCUUUGGCCUGCGAUGCAUUUUCCAUUAUUACGUUCUUUUUUUCAGUUUCCUUCGGAAAUUCUCUGUAGACUUUUAGUUCUGCUCUGUUGAUCAAUAGACGAAAACGCAAAUUAGUUCUGCUUACUUUUUUCCAAAAGUCAUUCACAUACAUUUUAGCAAUUGACUUCAAGCGUGUAAAAAUAACUAUGAAAAAGCAAUGGCAGGGAGUUGCCUAGAACUGAAAUCAUCUGUUACAAUGAUUCAAGUAUUACUCAGGAAAACGUGUGGACAGCAAAUCCAGAAGGGUAGCAAGCAUUCAUCCAAGAGGCAGACGUUUUGCAAAUACAAAGAGCUUUUCCAGGAGAUUUUUUUUUAUUUUUUAUUUUUUUGGAUUCUUCUGAAUAAGUGAAACAAGUAGAAGACAAAAGCGCUGCCUGUUAAAUUACACUGACACCACUUUCCACUUAGCUGUAUAGAGAUUAUGGUACUUUUAUGUCAAUGUGAAAUGCUCACAUUCUCUUUCAGUAAGGGCCAUAUAUAUAUAAAUAUAUAUUUAUAAGAAUAUCCGUAUGUAAAAUAACAUAUACUCUUUCUUGAGACUGGCAGGUGACUUGGAGGGAGAUAAAGAGGAAUUGAGUUCGUGAAGGGAGGCCUGUGACUGACAGCACGUAAACCCCCUUCACCCUGUCCUUCUUUUUUUCCCUUGGAUUGCGAAGCCAAGGGCUAUACACUAGAGGGCGCUGCAUGUGAGCGUGUAAGUGCCUCUUGGCACAGGCCAGAUCAUGGGAUUCUUCUGCGCCUGUCUGGCUUGCUCAUCCCUCUCUCCCUCCGUCCACUCCUCCUUUCCCUUCUUCGUCAGAAAGAAUCCCAUUUAGCACUUUUUUGAUCCUGUUUAUUUUACACGGUGAAUGAAACUACCCAGGCUGAUCACACAGAAUGUGAACUGUGUAACUGACAUGCUGUUUUUAAAAGGGGGCAGUGGACAGAAAAGGGGCGGGAUUCAUUUUAGGAAGCGUAGAUUAUGUUGAAAAGACCAACGAUGAGGUCUUUCUUAUGGAAAACUUUAGUUUCAAUGGGAUGUGUUUGCUGGAAUUAAGGGUGGGCUUUUCUUGGGGUGGGAGCGUAGGGUGUCUUUUUUAUAUUUUAUUCCCAGGUUCUAAUGGAUGUAGGGCAGGUUAUAGAGGGGGAUUUUUCUUCUCCUUUUUGUUUUAUUUCAAAAGUAUAUGAAAAUGUGCUUUGUGUUAAAAUGGCCCCUGUUGUACCAAGCCUUUCACCAGAGGCGACUUGUAAAAAGUCCCGCUCUUAGUAAUUUAUAUAGUAUUGGUCCUAAAUAUAUACUGAACAGUCCAAAAGGAAUUCAGAAAACUUAUUGCAGUGUGCAUGCAGGGCAGAGUAUUACCUUGAACUACAUUUUUAUGUGUUUGAUUUUGUACUGUACAAGUAUUAUUGUAUUUUUUUUUUUUUUUUAAACGAUCAAUAACUGUCUUCCAUCAGCGCUGUUGGCUGCUGUUACACUGUCCUUGAAUUACUGUCAUCUAAUGUUGUUCCUUCUUUCAUGUGUUUUACCUACCGAUCCCCAAAAGGACAGAACCACACGCAAGAUUGUUUGACAGGCGGACGACUCUUAGGGAACACAAACAGACCACUAGGACUCAUUUAGAAAGAGACAAUUUUCUGAACUUCUGAAAGGUUCUUGAAGUUGGUACACUUUAGUAUUGUUUCAAUAACUAAGGUCGAGGAGAUCCAAAGAUGCUAUGAAUUGAAAUCUAAUUUUAUUCAGAUGCACAGGCUGUCAAUUCACUUUGCAUUUAUUUUUGUUUUAAAUUCCUCCUGUGCCCUGCAGUUUUGUUCUGUAAUUUGUUUUAUGAUUUGAUGUGAAGCACAGCUGAAAUAUAAUUUCUGGUUCAAUGUGUAAAGCCCCCGCAGACACUGUUAAGCCUUGAAUGAUAUCCUGUGUGGCUUGAAUAAUGCCAGCCAUCAAUCUGUCAGUGGUUGCCACCAUGAGGUCCUUUUUUUUUUUUUUUUUUUCUCUCUCUCUUUUUUGGCUUCUUGCUGUAUAUUCCUGAAAGUAUUUAUUUUGUUUACAUACAGUUAAUAACACUACUUUUUUUUUUUUUUUUUUUGCAUGUAAAUUUUUGAUGUUUUCUUUUUCCCCCCUUUUUGUCACCAUGCCAAAUUUGUAGCUAAUGAUCUUUUUCUCUCCUGUCUUAUUUUAUUACAGAUUCUUGUGAUCUGAUACACAGGGCUAUACCUGUCCAUUUUGACUUUUAUUAUUGAUUAGGAAAAACAAUAAAAAUGCUGAGAUCAG